CUGCUCUAUUAAAUUGUCUUCCUACCUUUAAGUCAUCUGAAAUAAUUACUCCUAAAUCCCUUUCCUCAGAUGUUGAGGUUAGUAGGGUAUCAAAUAUUCUAUAUUCUGCCCAUGGGUUUUUAUGCCCAAGAUGCAUUAUCUUGAACUUAUCCACAUUAAAGGGACACUCCAGGCACCCAGACCACUUCUGCCCAUUGGAGUGGUC